UAGGGAAUCUUCGGCAAUGGACGAAAGUCUGACCGAGCAACGCCGCGUGAGUGAAGAAGGUUUUCGGAUCGUAAAACUCUGUUGUUAGAGAAGAACAAGGACGUUAGUAACUGAACGUCCCCUGACGGUAUCUAACCAGAAAGCCACGGCUAACUACGUGCCAGCAGCCGCGGUAAUACGUAGGUGGCAAGCGUUGUCCGGAUUUAUUGGGCGUAAAGCGAGCGCAGGCGGUUUCUUAAGUCUGAUGUGAAAGCCCCCGGCUCAACCGGGGAGGGGCAUUGGAAACUGGGAGACUUGAGUGCAGAAGAGGAGAGUGGAAUUCCAUGUGUAGCGGUGAAAGGCGGAGAUAUAUGGAGGAACACCAGUGGCGAAGGCGGCUCUCUGGUCUGUAACUGACGCUGAGGCUCGAAAGCGUGGGGAGCAAACAGG
rnacentral:rRNA from 1 species